GCCUCCCACACAGGUAGUUUUUGGUAUUGUUAGAAAAGAUGCGUUCAUCCAUCAUCCAGCCAUCAAGGGAGAGACAGUGACAGCUUAUGGAUUGACUUCCUCUCUCCCCCCUCCUUCCCUCUUUAUGUUUUUUUCUGCAUGGAGUCGACAUGGGACAGAGGAUGUGCUCCGUGGUAAUCAGCACCCAUCCUGCUGUCCAUCUCGGUGAAUAUUAUGAAAGUGGAUCUGGCUACUUGGCCCAGAGGAUGAAGACCGUCCAGCACUGCCGCUCAGUCCUGGACAUCCACCACCUAUCAGCACAGUCCAAACAGCGACUGACUGACAAGCCACUGUGAUGUGUCAGGUGUCGAGAAGAUGAGAGCAACAUUUCCCCCUGGCUGGGUUUUCCUUACUUCAAACCUACCAUGCUGGCAGACCGCCUGUUGAAGGCUUCUUGUCUAUGGAGCAAAACCCAGAUGAGUCUUCUUUUAAAAACAUCUAGUUUCCUUACAAGUUUUUGACAUCAUAGAGAUUUAUGUCAAGCUAUUUUCAGAUGUAAGAGUUUCUAAUUAUGUUUAUACUUUGGCCCUAGACUGGGACAGAGACCUCUCAGGCAUUCUACUGUUAGCUCGUCUCACAAGGCCACAAGACGACGGGUCGGAGUCGGUGUUCUUUCCUGGGAGUUUGGAAACAGGACAGCUCUUCCUCCCAUGUGUCCAUGUUCUAUGUCAUCACUGACCACAAGGUGCAGCGAUCGAUGAGCUCAUUAAGGCACACUUCAUCUUCUACACGUUCAUCCACACCACGGUGUUCAACAUGGGCAUCGGAGGUGCUAAAGAAACGCCGAGUCAAGCUCAGAGUGCGACUGUUGCGCACUGCCACCUGAGCUGCUAAACACCAUUAGGUGCAACUAUGUUGAUUUGAAACACCUCUGUCAUUCAUUCAUCCCAAAAGUGGGAAAUAGUUGAACCUGUAGAAUAUGUUGUUGAGCUGUGAUUUGAUGUGUGCAGAGAAGAAACAAUAGUCUAGAGUCAGAUCUAUCCACUGACUUUUUUAACGAUGAGACAGCAAAUCCCACAGGUUCAAAGCAGAAGAUAUUCAGACUUGAUUGUAUUUAUUUUGUAUUGAGGAGCCUGCCCUGUCUUGUAAGACAUGCUCUUUAUGUUUGGUGGUGUACUGGAAAGAACCAAGUGGUUAUUGGAAUAUGCUCCUCCUUUUCAUUCACACAGUGAAUAUGGUGUUUUCACAGUGGUGUAUUAUUUGAACUAUUUGAUUAAUGAUCACCACAAGCUGUUCAAAUCUGUUUCCUCAAAGAAAAUUUAUUCCUAAGCAUCAUUUUAUGAGACAUUACCCCCAGUGUAGUUGUAAAAUUCAUCUACUCCAUCACGUAUGGUGCAUGAAGACCAAACAUCUUUUGUUAAACGUGUUAAUUUUAAAAAUAUAACUGAUCAAAGGCAGUGAAAUACCUGGAAAAAGGAGGCUUUUAGACUGUUCUGUUUUGCCAACAUGAAGUAAAUCACAUUGCAUUUCAGUAAAUAAACAAAAGGAGUACUACAGGUAAUUUUGCCUGUUCAGAUGAGAUAAUGUGCUAAUUUAGGGCGUAGUCAUGUGGAACAAGCCAAAAGCCUCAGCAAAGUCCAAGAUUUUCACACUUUGAUUUUUUUUUCUUUUGUACUUCUUACAUUUGUUGAUAGUCUUCAUGAACUGAUUAUUAUUAAACUACAAAAGUAACAUUACUGCCUUUGACAGGACUGUUUGGCCGUGCUGCUGUUUUGCACACACACUCAAUAUGAUUAUAAAGCACAAGAGGUCAGUAAAGUCAUUUUACAAAUGAAUGAUGAGAGAAGUCAAACCAGUGACUGAACAAAAUACUACAAGGCAUUAAAUCAUAAAGGCUAAUUUAUUUAACAAUAAUCACCAUCAAUAAUCAGUUCAUGAGAAACGUACAAAAACCUGAUUGGACAUCGACAACCCAAUUAAACUGGGGAGCUGAUUUUGCAUCCCUGAAAUUGAUAGAUUAUACACACACACACAAACACACACACACAGUAGGUAGGUUUUAGAGGGUGUAGGCUAUAAGGAGCAAGAAGAAGCCCUCACAAUAUGCACCUGUAAUGAUCAAGUAAAAGUAACUUGAUCACUGCAGUUACAUGUAGCAAUGACGAAAAUGAUGAAAAACUACAUAAAUGCAUAAAUCAGCUAUUUUAAAACAAGCAUACCUUGACAAAGUCAGAGAUGAGGGCAUUCAUUGUUGGUGCUGAAGGGAUGAGUUUGAUCUGUCAAGCACAUAGACCUCACCCACUGUGGAGAAGAAGCAAAGUGUCAGUGAGAGAAAACUUUCCAUGUCAUAAAAUCAAAGAUUAAAUCAGUGGCCAGUCUGCACUUGUGCUGGUCAAGCAGCCACAUUGGAACCUAAAGUAUACGGGUUUAAAUACUUUAUUUUUUUAGCUACAAUGACAAAAACAGUACCUCUCUGGUGGCUUGGCUAACUUCAUCUAGCCAAAGUUAUACGGGACAAAGUGAAGCAGCAGCUGCUUUUGGGAGCUCGUCCACACCGAUAUUAAAACAUGAUUAAUGAAAACACUUCGUGAAAGAAUAAAUGACUCACAAAACAACAUUAAACCUGUCCCACAUAAACUUUCGCAGCAAACAACCGGCAGCGUCGCUCCCCUGUUGUGAUGUGGCAGCACCAUGCCAUUAACAAAACAAAAUUAUAGAUUUGAAGUGACACCAUCUUUAAAAUCUUGACAGUCAGACGUCACUCGCUUAGUGACCAAUGGCCAACAAGCCCGGCCCCACGUGACUGUACCCAAGCAUAGGUGAAUUAAUCACGUGUUAACCCGCUCAUUUAAUGCGUGGGCCUGUGAAACAGCAAAGGCAAAGAAAGCAAGGGUCAUAACUGUCAGUCUUCAAAAGAAAGAGAAAUGAGAGAACAUCAUAGGAAAGAAAAAGACAUUACUUGAACAAUGACAUUUGGUCAUACUGGUUUGAAUAGUACACUGAAGUUGAUAAAGGAGUAUAAUACUGGUCACUACUGUGAGCUUUGGGGGCUACAGGAAACACUACAGUCUUGUUUUUCCUUCCAAGAUUCAGGUGGGAGAGGGAGUCAUUGAAAAGUACAAUUUAAAGUAAUGCCAUAGGAUUUAAUUUAAGAGAUGUUGCCAGGCAGUUCAGGGGAUGUAGGGUUCAGAGCAAUCUUUAGGUUUUUAGAACAGAGUAAACUAAUAAAGAUUAGGUAGAGUGAGGUGUUUUCAUUAUAGUUGCAAAUAUAGGAGCCAAUGUGAUCCACAGGUCCAGUCUAGCUGGUGAAAAUGCAUGUAAAGUUGCUCACUAACCACCAUUAAACAGCAGAAGUUGAGCCCAAGGCGACUGCUAAAUCUCAGACUUUUCACACUUCGUUUUUGUCCGUCAGUUCUUACAUCUGCUGAUCAUCUUAUCUGCCUUUACUAUGUUCUUGAUUAAACAGCCUCACUGAUAAAGGUUUUUGAAAGUUUUCCAUGAUCUGAUAAUUGAUGAUUAUUAAAUAAAUAAAACUUUGUGAUUUAAUGGUUUUACAGCAACAUCUUCAAUCAAUGUUUGGUUUUAUUUUUCUCUUUUCAGCUUUCAUUGUAGGCCAUGUUUUGUCC